AAAGCUUUGGAGCUCCUAAAGUGACAAAGGAUGGUGUCACUAUAGCAAAGAGCAUUGAGUUCAGAAUUACAUGCUCAAAUUCCUUGAGCUUCCACAUGAAGAAGAAACACAAAUCAAGUUGGCUUCUGAUAGGGGAUACAAGAGAAAGAUAUUGAGGUUGAGGUUACUGACCAUACUAUGCCCGAGUCAUUCAUACUUGAUGAGGAACAGGGAAGGUAAAUUUAACAAGGUUCUCACAACCUCUGCAAUCCACAGUUCCUAAUUACAGGAGAGGAUUAUUUAUGUUGAUCUAAGUGUGUAUCUGAUGCCAACUUCUAUGGUUGUGCUCAUGAAAAAGUUAACACUAUACUUGUAGUUUAGAGACAUGUAAGUUUUGGAUGCUGCUAUGGAGGAGAAGUUAUAGAUCAGUUUUGUUCUGUUGAGGACUUUUU